rnacentral:misc_RNA from 1 species
UGCAUGAGUCUUACCUGAAAUAAAUCAUAUUAGAUGAUACUAUGAUAAGCUUGAUGAGACAGAUAAAGUGAUAAACUGAAUUGCUUAGAGCACAUUCCUUUACGGUUUCUCCGGUUUCAGAAUAUUCUAAAUAACCUGAAACUUUAUGCUGAUACAUAGAAUGAGUGUUUGAAAUAUGAUGAAUAUAUAUAUAUAUGCAAAUGCGUGUACAUGUGAAUGGAUGAAGAAAGCAAAGGAGAAAGAGAGGGGGGGAGAGGGAGAGAGAGAGAGAUGGAAGAUACUUUCCAUCAUAUAUCAUUUAUACACCACAUCGUCAUCUAGACAUGCAUACGUCAAACCAAUGACACUAUAUGUUUACUUGCAUCUCUGUAAUCUAAUAUCUACAGUUGAACUCAAUUCAAGAAAGGUUUAUCCCAUGAAUUAAAGUUGCUAUAUUGCUUCUAGUUAACAUCUUAGAAUACUACGUCCACAAAUAACUUUAAGAAGUUGGAUUACAGAGGCUUGCUGUCAUUUGCCUCCUCAUUUUGGCAUUCCUUUGGAUGCUUGGACCUGUUUCUCAACUAUUUUGGGAUAAAUGGUCGAUGUAUGGUAAAACAGUGUUUUAUUAUACUUGUAGUAUUGCUCUAAAAAUACACAGGACAGUGGCUACUCUACAGAUAAGCAUAUGUAAAACAACACAAAAAAUAUAAUUUGUGGAAGAUAACCUACAGGAAAAACCCUACUUGUGUUGCUCUAAAAUCGCAAAGGACAACACGACAGAGAUAGGCAUGAGUAAAAAGCAUAUAAGAAAUAUAAGUUUCACAAGAAAUUAAUACAGGAGACUCUACUUCCACACACAGCACAUAGGCACACCCCAUUAUCGUGUCAGUGAAUCUCACAUGCCUUGACACAAAUUUGCACGAACCUAGCCUUCAUGCUGUAAAGAUAUGAUUUUUCUUUCUUAUUGAACUAAUUCUUGAAAAUGUGAUCUAUUGCUUUUUUGCUGGUACUGUGACUGAGAAAUUGGCAUUUCGAUCAUAGAAUCAUUUGUUUUGCAUUUAAAACCUCCUAAAGAUAAGUAAAAUCCAAACUUGCAACCUGUUAAUAGAAAUCCCAAAGCCUUUUUUUUCUUUCUACCAGUGAUCAUAUUAGUUUAAUUAAGAGCCUUAAUUUUAACUAGUUUACUGCAAGAUAAGACUUAAAUUUGAAUCAAAUUAUUUAUAGAAAAAAAAAUAUUUUGGGAAAAUAAUUUAUUUUUCAUAUUAUUUUUUACAGUUAUAUCAAAUUAUAAAAAUUUUUAAAUCAUAAAAACUUCACUUUAUUAUUUUAUUAUCGAACAUAAAAAAUACAAAAAUAAGAACUAAAAAACUUAGCCUUCAUGCUGUAGAGAUAGCUCAGCUGUCAUUAACACAAAAGUCAGAACUAAAAACCAAUACAAUGGUUGUAGGUUAUAUGAUUCCAGUAUACGGUAUAACUAAAAGCAACCUUUAAUUGCUCUUUUUAUGAGGGAUUUGAGUGAGAAAAAUGAAAGAAUCCAUCAUUUGAUAUAGUAAAAUGAAGAAACAAUUCAUAGGUUUAAUCCGCAAUUAACUGAAAUUUUUGAGGUAUCCUUCGUCAGAUAUCUCAUUCAAAGACGCCAUUGGUUCUAUAUUUUUUCCAAAUUCAAAACUGCCCUUCAACUCCAGGGAUUUGGACCAUAUACACCAAACACAAAAAAUUUUCAAUUUCUUGGAUUUCACAUUUUUGAAGUUUUUAAUCCCUUAGAUUUGGACAAAUCCCACAAUUUUACAAAGCCGUCUGUCAAAACAUUAAAAAAGAUACCUCUAUAAAACCAACUACAACUACACUAUUGAAUAGAGAAUGUCUUAUAAUGGAAGUAGUGUUGCUCAGAAAACAAGAGGGACAAUGGGUAGACUGUAGAGACAGACACAAGAUGUAGAGCAAAAGAAAUAUUAUUUUUGAAAUAAUAACAUACAAGGAUGGGCAUCGCCCUAUGUCCACAGUAUAUUCUACAAGCCAGGACAUGAAUCAGCAUGUAACUAUCCUGCAUGCUGUGGAAAUAGCUCAUCCCUAAUGUAUGUGAAGUUAAGACCUUCAAAAAGUAACAUUAAUGUUAAUCUGGUUAAAAUGUCUGUUACUUCCCAAAUAAAAUAAAGUUUCACAAACGCAAGUCAGAAUCGAUGAAAAACUUAUGCAGGAGCAGAUUAUAAACAUCCGCAACUAAUGGAAUUAGAUGCUGAUGAACUACUUUGUGAUGUGCCGCGCUUAUUAUUAGAAGGGCAGAUAAACUACCCAAUGUGUUUUUCCAUAACAUAUCCUUAUGCAUGUUACUGUUCCCAAACUCCAUGGUUCAAACUCGAGACAUCCCAUCUCCAUCAACCAGGAAAUUCCACUAUUUUAAAUGAUAUAUUUCAAUAAAACAUGACAUAGAUUAAUCCAUUGGAGCAUUGACUGUAAUGAAAGUAAAAUUUAGUUAACUUCAUUCUUUCCAUGAGACGGAAAGUCAGACCAGUUAAUUUUAUGAGACUUUACAAUCAAGUUUCUAAAUAUGGACAUGGUUUAUAGUUUCAAGUGUUGAAAUAAAGUGGAAUAAUUAAUUCUUUAAAGCAUCUUAGCACCAAACUAAAUACUGCAAAGUAUAUUUGAAAUUGCACUACUUACAUUCAUAAGCUCAACAACAAAAGAAAACUUGUACAUUUUGACUUUACUCGAUUAACUUAAACUGAAAAACUAAAUCCGUAACUUUUCAUUACAAAUUUUUCCCACUCAAAUAAAAUGUGGAUGCAAAUAAAAUUCAGAAUGAAAACCCAUCAUGUAGCUUUCAGAUAACCAUAAUCGCACUGAUCAAAAGAACUAACCGCUUCUUUGACGAAACCAAAUGGUAGUGCUCCAUUUCACUAAAGGAUAAACUAUUCUCCCAUAACAAAUCCUCACACUAAUUCCUUCUCCUACACUCCCUAAUUCAAAUUAGAGAAAGCUGAAUUUAGCUGAAUUUUUUCCAGGUAAGGUUUCAUUCAUCAUCAUCAAUCUGACUUUGCUUCAUUGGAGCAAUAACCUAAACAAAAAUUCCAGUAAAAAGGACUCACAACCCAAAAAAGUAAAAGCCGGUUACCUUUAUUUGAAAAUCAGGUUGCUUAAUUCAAUGCAACCAGAAUUCAACUUUAAGAAAAUACAGGUGUUUAACAUUUAGGUUUCUUCCAUGGUGAUAGAAAUGCAUAAAUUUUUAUUAUGAUUUUCCAAGCAAUUUGUAAAUAUGAUUUACAAUCCAAUAUUUGAGGAAAGCAGAGUAGAAUAAACUAAUUCCUCAAAGCAUCUUAGCUAGCAGAUCAGAGGUCAACAGUAAUUUGCUACUACCAAAUGCACACAGUUGAAUCUCGACCCAGUAUUGACUAUUGACAAUCAAGGCAGACAUUGAAAUUAAGAAUGCAAAAGGACAUACAUACAAAUGAAGAAAAUUGAAAACAAACAGAGCCGCAG